GACGAACGCUGGCGGCGUGCCUAAUACAUGCAAGUAGAACGCUGAAGAGAGGAGCUUGCUCUUCUUGGAUGAGUUGCGAACGGGUGAGUAACGCGUAGGUAACCUGCCUGGUAGCGGGGGAUAACUAUUGGAAACGAUAGCUAAUACCGCAUAAAAUUGAUUAUUGCAUGAUAAUUAAUUGAAAGAUGCAACUGCAUCACUACCAGAUGGACCUGCGUUGUAUUAGCUAGUUGGUGAGGUAACGGCUCACCAAGGCGACGAUACAUAGCCGACCUGAGAGGGUGGUCGGCCACACUGGGACUGAGACACGGCCCAGACUCCUACGGGAGGCAGCAGUAGGGAAUCUUCGGCAAUGGGGGGAACCCUGACCGAGCAACGCCGCGUGAGUGAAGAAGGUUUUCGGAUCGUAAAGCUCUGUUGUAAGAGAAGAACGGGUGUGAGAGUGGAAAGUUCACACUGUGACGGUAUCUUACCAGAAAGGGACGGCUAACUACGUG
rnacentral:rRNA from 1 species